CGCGGCCUAUCAGCUUGUUGGUGAGGUAACGGCUCACCAAGGCAUCGACGGGUAGCUGGUCUGAGAGGAUGAUCAGCCACACUGGGACUGAGACACGGCCCAGACUCCUACGGGAGGCAGCAGUGGGGAAUAUUGCACAAUGGGCGAAAGCCUGAUGCAGCAACGCCGCGUGCGGGAAGAAGGCCUUAGGGUUGUAAACCGCUUUCAGCAGGGAAGAAAAUGACGGUACCUGCAGAAGAAGGUGCGGCCAACUACGUGCCAGCAGCCGCGGUGACACGUAGGCACCAAGCGUUGUCCGGAUUUAUUGGGCGUAAAGAGCUCGUAGGCGGUUCGGUAAGUCGGGUGUGAAAACUCUGGGCUCAACCCAGAGACGCCACCCGAUACUGCUGUGACUUGAGUACGGUAGGGGAGCGGGGAAUUCCUGGUGUAGCGGUGAAAUGCGCAGAUAUCAGGAGGAACACCAGUGGCGAAGGCGCCGCUCUGGGCCGUAACUGACGCUGAGGAGCGAAAGCAUGGGUAGCAAACAGGAUUAGAUACCCUGGUAGUCCAUGCCGUAAACGUUGGGCACUAGGUGUGGGUCUCAACCAACGAGAUCCGCGCCGUCGCUAACGCAUUAAGUGCCCCGCCUGGGGAGUACGG
rnacentral:rRNA from 1 species